UCUCCUCAGCCGGCAGCCCUUCCACCCACAACCAUCACUCCCCCUCUCUUUCUCUUGUUUGGCCGUGGGGAGCACCUCACCGGAGGAGCCGUCGCCGCCGCCGGUGCCGUCGCCGGGAACCACCACCCCACGCCUCACCAGCCUCACCAGUCCGUCCUCUCUCUCUCCCGACCGCCGCGACCAGCCACCCCUCCGCCUAGGCUCGCGCCGUUCGCCGGAACCGCCGCUGCCGUUACUGUUCCAGCGAGGCGUCGCCGCUGUCCAGCCGCCAUUGCCGCGUGUUCGGCUCGGUUUGAAGCUUAGGACACCCGACCCCAGCCUUGAGGAUGGCAGGCGUACCGAAGUGUUUUGGGAGGAGCCCCGGCUAGUUGUAGUGGCCUUGAACUGCUUUUGAUUUUUGAGCAUGGGCUGUAGUUGAAUAUUGUGUCUGGUGCCCAGUAUCAACGCAAGUGUAAUUAUUCA